AGCUCUACCUUAGUAUAUUUAUAACAUCAAAUUAUCUGCCAAACUUAAGAGCUAUUCAAAUAAGGCACAGCUUAUUUGAAACAGAACACAACCUCCAACACCGGGUUAAUAUAGGUCAUUAAAAUCAAGUGGGCCUAAAAGCAGCCACCUUACAGAAAGCGUUAAAGCUCAACUAUUCAUCUACCUUAAAUUUCAAAAUUUAUUUUCAACCCUUCAUUACUACUGAACUAUUUUAUAUUAUUAUAAAAAAAAUUAUGCUAGAACUAGUAACAAGAAUUAGCCAUUCUCCAAAAUGUAAGCUUAAGCCAAAAUGGACACCCCGUUGGCAAUUAACGCAAAUGUAAUUAUUAUAGCAACACACACUAGUAAACCCUAUAACAACCAGCGUCAACCUAACACCAGAACAUCUCAGGAAAGAUUAAAAGAGAAAGAAGGAACUCGGCAAAUCUCAGCCCCGCCUGUUUACCAAAAACAUCGCCUCUUGUUCAAAUAUAAAAGGUCCAGCCUGCCCAGUGAUAUAAUUCAACGGCCGCGGUACCCUAACCGUGCGAAGGUAGCAUAAUCACUUGUUCUUUAAAUAAGGACUUGUAUCAACGGCAUCACGAGGACUGUACUGUCUCCUUUCUCCAAUCAGUGAAACUGAUCUCCCCGUGAAGAAGCGGAGAUUAACCUAUAAGACGAGAAGACCCCAUGGAGCUUAAAGCCCACACAACUCUAUGCAUUUAAAUCAAUAUAGCCCAAGAAACCUGCAAACGGCUUUAGGUUGGGGGGACCGCGGAGUAAAACCUAACCUCCACGACAAACGGGCAUACGCCCUUAUCCAAGAAUGACAAUUCUAAGAAUCAAUAAACUGAUGUUUAAUGACCCGAUUAUUCGAUCAACGAACCAAGUUACCCUGGGGAUAACAGCGCAAUCUACUUCAAGAGCCCCUAUCAACAAGUAGGUUUACGACCUCGAUGUUGGAUCAGGGUAUCCUAGUGGUGCAGCCGCUACUAAAGGUUCGUUUGUUCAACGAUUAAAACCCUACGUGAU
rnacentral:rRNA from 1 species